rnacentral:tRNA from 1 species
GCCCCUAUAGCUCAAAGGAAGAGCGUCUCCGUCCUAAGGAGAAGAUGGAGGUUCAAGUCCUCCUAGGGGCA